AGCCUUUAGCAAGAUUUCCCUCUCUUGCUCAUCUUUCCUUUGCUUUUCUAAACGUUCCAACUGUUCAAAAAACUUUAAUUGUGAUCGGACAUCUGUAGCUUGUUCAUACCACUCAUCAUCUUUGUAUGAUUCCAUGCGGUGCUGGGUUAUCACUGUUACUUUUUCUAUCAUUGUUCUUAAUCUGCUUUGUGUUGCAUGGGAAAUAAAAGUAACCACCUCAGCUGGCACAUCAGUAAUUCCUAAUUUUUUAGCUUUUACUUUUUUCCCCGUAAAUGAUCCUCGAAGAUACUGCUCACUGAUCA
rnacentral:lncRNA from 1 species